CUCCACUGUCUCUAGUGGACUGGCAUCAGGCUUGCACUGAUAUGAUUGAGACUGGACUCCAGCUCAGGAAGUCAUCGCAUCUACUGGGUAUAUUGUCGCUGGACCUAAUAUUUCACUAAGAAUUACAUGGAUACCCCAAAAAGUAAUUCCAAUGAUUAUGUGGAGAAGGCAACCUCUAUCUAUAUCAAUGGAAAAGGAAGAGCUCUAUUAGUGCUGUGUUACUAUGGUAGAUGGCCAAAACCGGAAUCCCAUUGUAUUAGGCAUUAUACACUCACAUAGUGAAAGAAGUUCUGGGUCCAGAAUAUUUUGUUUCCACAAUAACAGGGCAGACAAAAUGGAAACUGCCAUUCAUAAAGGUGAGUUGUCAGCUGGCUGGUGGCAGGAGCAAGAAGACAACACAAUCAUUGAAGUCUUUGGACCUGGCAGAUGUAACCACAGUCCUUCAUUUAAGAGAGUUGUAAGAAACUGGUAAGCUCCUAUAUGGAAGAAUAAUGGUCUCCAUCUCUAACACCAGCGCAUGCUACCACCUAAAACAAAGGCUCACGUGGGACCACUCAGGAAUUUCAACUACUUGGUAGAAAAGAAGAGGAGUUCUUUUUAGUGGAGGAGCGUGUGACUGAAAGAGAACAAAGCAGGAAAAACACCAAAGGUAGAGAAAUACUGGAAAGCUCAGUGCAGUCUGAAGAAAUACUGAGGGAGGCAAGGAUUUCUUAGGGUGAUAUCUUUUAUUGGACCAGCUAUGUAGUUGGGAUAAAGUUAGACAAGCUUUCGAAUGUAAGACAUUCUUCCUCAGGUCUAUGAUUACGUAGUUGGUCUAAAAAAAGAUAUGACCCUAAGAAAUUCUUGCCUGUCACAUAAUUUCUGGACUACCAAAGCUGCAGUAUCAAUCUUACACUACCGAAAUACAAAGAGGACAGUCUUGAAAGAAGCCAGAAGACAGCAACAAAGAGAAAGAGAGGCCUUAUUGGUUUGUUGUGGGAGAAAAGCUGUUCAUAUAUUCAUAUUCCAAUUUUCUUUAUUCAGUUAUUACAUUUUCAAGCAGACACCUUCAAGCUUUCUGUCCUGAGGGCCCCUCUACACAUGCAGGUAAAGGCACAAUGGGAUCUAGUGCGUGAUCCAUAUUACACCUCCUGCCAUGCCACGCAUGUGUGGCAGGAGGCAUGACUGUGGGAUUGUGCAUUAGAUCCCAUUAUGCCUUAUUGCCAGGGGAAGCCAGAUCCUGUGUUCUCUGUGCACCAGCAAGAAGGAAGCUCCUGUGGCUGGGAACCCCCUCAACUGUGGAGCUGGGAGAUCCAGCUUUUUUGAUCUCAGAGUCCCGGUGGUAUGGGACGCCCCAGGGGCUAGGAGAUGGCUGCUGCCACUGUCUCCCAGCCCUAAGGGUGUGUAAAACCCACAGGGCUGGGAGAUAGUAGUUGCCAGUCUCCCAGCCCCAGUGUAGGCCUGGCAAGUCCUGUUUGGCCAGAGUAAUACCAUGAUGGCACAAGCAUAUGUGACUAAGCUGAGCAGAUAUUGGGUUGCUGUGCGGGGUUGGUGUUUUGCACUCUAAAGAAAACAAGGAUGUGGACAUUGAUUGGAUGCAGAGUUAGGUUAACCAAAUAUGGAAUGGCAUAUGUAACUAACAACAUGCAGCUUGAUGUAUAAAGUUGUAUAGCUGCAAGGAAUUGGAUUACUUGAGACUCUACUGAGCGACUUUGACCAUUGUGAAUCCACAAGGAAAUUGCAAUGCCUGGCCAACUGACCCAACUUCUCUCAAGGCUAUGUGAGCAUUAUACUUAUAGCUUUACUUUUUAUUUAGUGAAUGCAAAUCCUCCUAGCCAAGCAAUAGCCUCUUCAUUAGCUGAGUUUAAAGUUAUUAAUCUACCUCUUAGUUUGUAGAGGGGACGCUCCUCAGUGAUGUGUGGCAUUGUUUGUUUCUCUCCACAAGUGCACUUAUAGCUGUAAAUGAGUUAGUGCUUAAGCAUAUCUCAAUAAAGCUUUCGAUGUAUGGUUGGAAUAAGCUCAUUGAUCAUUAAUCUCACUUUCCACCCCAGCUAAAAUGUAAAGUAACACUAGAGGUGUGUGAAACUACUGGGGCUGAGAGACUACGACAGCUGUGCCCCGCAGCUGCUGGGAGCCAGCUGGGUCAUGGCAUUGGGAGGCACACUGCCAGGCCCCAGAGUCUGCAACUGUGGGACUCUGGGUCCUGGCAGCCAUGAGGAGCUACUGGGGCUCAGGGUCAGCAGCUACUGGGGCUGAGAGACCUCUCAGUUGCAGGACUUCCAGCCCCAUGGAGCAUAGUGCACCCCUGAAGAUGGGCACCCAGCCAGCUCCACAUGCAAAUUAAAGCUGGAUACCAGCUAUAAGGCUAGUACACAUUUUCAAGAUCUAGCUUUAUAGCGGGUUGGGUCUUUUUAUGGUGAAAUAUGUACUUUGCACAUAUAGUUGGUUUCAGUUAAUUUCACAAUUAACCAGCUAAUUGCACAAUACUUUUACUUGCAGAGGGGAUCUGAGUCUUGGGAGGCGCUCUAUGUGAAUAUUUGCAUGGUCAUGUUAUUUAUUGUUCUUCAGAUGUUCUCUUUUAAAGCCUUUCUUGCUAUGAAGCCUGAAAAUAACUUGAUGGUGAUGAUGUUGAUCAGCACUGUUUCCUUUUACUUUCCCACUUGUUUGUAUCCAAAUGUCUUUUGUUUGAUACUUAGAAGUAGAACUUUUUGCAUAACAGAUUUUCCAGUUUGAAGGCCAAGCCAAAAAUCAUUUUAUUUUAGUUUUAGCAAAAUGUUU